rnacentral:lncRNA from 1 species
CGACCUUCUUCCACCUUGAAACAAUGAUAAACUUUAUGUGAUUUUGAUUGAUUCUUUGCAUGUUAACAUGGUAUCAGAGCAGCGAUCUUGCUUGAUCUCGUUGUCCUCUCCUCUCCGGUAUUACCCGCUCCUGUUUUGACUGGGUUUUUUUUGGUCUCUGAAUAUGGUUAUUUUGCUGUUUUGGGGGUUUCUCUCGCUGUUUGAAGGAGCUCGUAAUUGCUAAAGUCAAUUGUUGUGUAUUCUUCACUCUAGAAGGCCGUGUUUUCCGGUUGCGAAAACUCCGGUAAUUUUGUUCUUUUCUCUCUGAUUUUGCGUGCUAGGGUUUGGGUGUGUGAUGUUUUGUGUUAAUCGCCUAUUUUUUCAUGGCUCCGACUGAUAAUGAUAUCAGCAGUACCUCUGGUUGUCGUGAACAGUCUGAAUUUAUCCCUAAGCCCUCAAGUCCUAUUUUUCUUCACUCUUCCGAUAUACCUGGUCUUUCCUUAGUUCCUGUACCUUUCUCAGGAUCUGGUUUUGGAGGAUGGAGAAGGAGCAUUAUUGUGUCAUUGUCUGGUAGAAAUAAAAUUGAAUUCAUCGAUGGUACCUUGCCUAGACCUUCCCCUAAUUCACCUGAGUCUAAGCAUUGGGAUAGAUGUAAUAACAAAGUAAUUUUCUGGUUAACUAGCUCUUUGUCUUUCAGUAUUGCUGAGAGUGUUCAGUACUCUGAGACAGCUGAAGACAUAUGGAAACAAUUAAAUAGAAGAUAUGAGACUAUAAAUGGGACUAAGGUUUUUGAGAUUAAGAAGGAACUAGCCUCCACUAACCAGGGUUCUCUCGACAUUGCCUCUUAUUUCAACAAGUUGAAGAAGUUAUGGGAUGAACUAAGAGUCAUGCGCACUUGUCAUGGUAGCACUUGUACCUCUGCUGUUAAGGCUGGUAUCCAGAAAGAGGAGGAAGAGGAUAGGCUGCAUCAGUUUCUCAUGGGUCUGAAUGACACUUAUAUCAGUGUCAGGAGUAAUCUUCUUAUGAUGCAGCCACCUCCUUCCUUGGACAGUGCAUAUAACAUUCUCCUUCAGGAUGAGAGACAAAGGCAGAUCAAUCCUUCCUCUCAAUUCAAUCCCGAGUCGACUUCUUUCAAUGUAACAUCCCUUAACCAUUCUUGACCAUUACAACCUCAAAAGCACUACUCUCAAAAAGUAUCUUUUGAUUCAAGUAGAGCAACUCAGUUUUGCAAAUAUUGUAAGAAGAGUGGUCAUUUAAUUGAAAAGUGCUAUAAGUUGCAUGGAUUCCCACCUGCUUUCAAGUUCACUAAUGGUAGGAAGAUGGCUGCAAAUGUUGAGGUUGACAUAUCCUCUAGCAAUGAGUCACAUGCCUCUGCACCUCCUAAUCAGAAUGAGGGUGGUUCUCUGGUACCUGGACUUACUAAGGAGCAGUAUGUUCAGCUCAUGUCUAUGUUGCAACACACUCUUGUGUCUGAAUCUCCUUCUUCUCAUACAAAUCUUAUGGCAUCUACAAAUUUUGCUGGUAAUGUUCCUUUGACUGCUUGUGUAGAAGUGCGUUACAGUGCAUCUCUGUUAAGUAGGGUAGCUGAAUAUAGUUGGAUUUUAGAUUCUGGAGCCACACAUCACAUGACUUCACACAAAGACCUUCUUUCUAACAUCCAACCUCUAGUUAUUCCUUAUCUUGUUACCCUUCCCAAUGGUUAUAAGGUGAAAGUAAAUUGCACAGGUUCUCUUAAAUUAUUUGCUUUUACUUUGCAUCAUGUCCUUUAUGUUUCCACUUUUCACUACAAUCUUAUUUUUGUUUCUCAGUUAGUCAUUCAACUUCAUGGCAUGGUUCAAUUUACUUCACUUUCAUGUAUCCUACAGGCCCCUUCACUGAAGAGUCCACUGGAAGUUAGUAAAUUGGAACAUGGACUUUACAGGCUUCUGAUGACUCCUCCUCAGUGUAGUAAUUCUGCUUCACACUGCUACACUUCAGUAUCUGAUAGUUUACCUUCUGUUUCCAGUGUUGUUUCACGUUGUAAAUGCCCAUUUAUUGUUUCUGAUUCUUCCUCUAUAUGCAUUCCAUCUACCAUGCAUUGUAAAAAUCAUUCUGGCAUCAAUAAAGAGGAAAUGUUAUGGCAUCAAAGAUUUGGUCACAUUCCUUUUGUUAGACUAAGAGACAUUUCUGGUAUCCCUUAUGUUUUCUCUUCAAAGCAAUCAUUUGUUUGUUCUAUUUGUCCUAUGGCUAGACAGUCCCGACUUCUUUUCCCUGAUAGUAGCAUUAAGUCAUCCCAUCCAUUUCAACUGAUUCAUGUUGACACAUGGGGGGGACCUUACUCUACUCCCACCUACAAUGGCUUUAAAUACUUUCUUACUAUAGUUGAUGACUUCUCUAGAGCAACUUGGACACAUCUUAUGGGUUCUAAAAACAAUGCAUUCCCCUUGCUUAAAGCACUUAUUGCAUUGGUCCAUACCCAAUUUUCUACCAAAGUUCAAUCUGUUAGGAGUGACAAUGCAUUAGAACUUGGUUCCAGUAAUCUUGCUACUCAAUUGUUUAGGGAUCAGGGGAUAAUACAUCAAAUUAGUUGCUCACAUACACCUCAGCAGAAUGGUGUAGUUGAAAGGAAGUAUAAAUAUCUGCUUGAAACUUCUAGGGGCCUACUUUUUUCAGUCCAAAUUACCUCUCAAAUUUUGGGGGGAGUGUGUCCUCACUUCUACCUAUCUUAUCAAUAGGUUUCCUUCCAAGCUCCUCCAGAAUAAAUCUCCUUUUGAACUACUCUAUGGUACUCCCCCUUCCUACUCACAUAUCAGAACAUUUGGCUGUCUCUGUUUUCAUACUAUUCCCAAAUGUCAUAAGAAUAAGUUGCAAGCUAGGGUCGAACCCUGUGUCUUCCUUAGGUACCCUCUUGGUAAGAAAGGCUACAAGUUGUUUAACCUUUCUACUAGGCAAGUCUUUGUUUCCAGGGAUGUCAUAUUCCAUGAACACCUCUUUCCUUUUGAUGCUUCUACACUUUCCUCUCUUGGUCCUUCACCUCCUAUUUUCUCUUCUCAUGUUCACUUCUCUCCUUCUAAUUCUUCCCCUGCUCAUUAUGAUUCUCCAAGUUCUCCUUCUGCUUCUAUUCCCUCUCUUAUUUCCUCUACCUUAGUUGCUCCUCAUGUCCAGACACCUUCUCCCCUUAUCCAACCUACUAUAAAAUCUGCUAGAACUCAUCAGCCUCCUGCUCAUCUUGCAGACUUUGUUUGUGACUUUCCUCCCUCCUUGGCUAGCUCCAGUUCUUUAUCCUCUAUAGUACAGUAUUUUGCUAAUAGUGCUGCCAUUGAGCCUCAAUUCUAUCAUCAAGUUGUUUCAAUUCCAGCUUGGCAAGAAACCAUGAAAAAGGAGUUUGAGGCUCUUGAAGCCAACAAUACUUGGAUGAUUGUUGAAUUACCUGAAGGUAAAAAACCUAUUGGCUGCAAAUGGGUAUAUAAAAUCAAAUAUCGAGCUGAUGGUAGUGUUGAAAGAUAUAAAGGUAGGUUAGUGGUAAGAGGAUAUACUCAAGUAGAGGGAGUGGAUUUUACUGAACCUUCUCUCCUGUUAUUAAAUUUUCCACUGUUAAAUGUCUGGUGGUUGUGGCAGUUAAGAAGAGGUGGUCUCUUUUCCAACUUGAUGUGAAUAAUGCUUUCUUGCAUGGUAAUCUAGAUGAGGAGGUCUACGUGAAAUUGCCUCCUGGUUUGUCUGUUUCUUCUUCUUCUUCUUCUUCCUCUCCUUUGGUAUGCAAGCUUCAAAAAUCUUUAUAUGGGCUUAGGCAGGCUUCUCGGCAGUGGUAUGCUAAGUUGUAUCUUGCCUUGUGCUCUAGGGGUUAAACACAUUCUUUGAAUGACUAUUCUCUAUUUUUCAAAAAAUAUGUCUCUUUUAUUAUGUUGUUGGUUGUCUGUGUUGUUGAUAUUAUUUUAACGGGUGAUGAUGAGGCUGAGAUACUUGCUUUAAAAGCCUUUUUGGAUGGUUAUUUUAAGAUCAAGGACUUGGGUACCUUGAAUUAUUUCCUGGGCAUUUAAGUGACCUAUUUCCCUUCUGGUUUACUUCUCCAUCAACAUAAGGUUAUCUCUGUUCAGUUCUGAGGCUGCCCAUGUUGUCUCUCCUUUGGAUCUCACUCAAAAACUUAAGGCUGGUGUUGGUGAUCUGUUACCUAAACUUGAACAGUUUCGGAGUUUGAUUGGAAAGCUCAAUUUCCUUACACACAUCAGACCUGACUUGUGCUUUGCAGUCCAGCACUUAAGCCAGUUUCUUCAAUCUCCGAGGCUUCCUCAUAUGGUUGUUGCUCUUCAUAUUCUGAGGUAUUUGAAAGGCACAUAUGACAUGGGGGUUUUCUUUGAAGACUCUUCUGAUUUGUCCCUAACUGCCUAUUGUGAUAGUGAUUGGGCAGCUUGCCCUGACACACGAAGAUCCGUUACUGGUUUUAGCAUUUUCUUGGGGGGUUCCCUCAUUGGUUGGAAGUCUAAGAAGCAACCAGUAGUUUCACUUUCUUCCGCAGAAGCCGAAUACAGUGCUGUUAGUAAAGUUGUUGCAGAGCUUGCUUAGGUUGCCCGCUUGCUUGAUGAUCUGCAUGUCUUUGUUGCUUCUCCUGUGCCUGCUUUUUGUGAUAAUCAGGCAGCUAUUCACAUUGCUCGCAAUCCUGUUUUCCAUGAACGCACUAUACACAUAGAAGUGGACUGCCACUUUGUCCGUACCAAACUUGCUGCUGGGGACAUUCAGUUGUUUCAUGUGCCUACUACGGCUCGACUUGUUCACCAAGCCCCUCACUAGUGGUAUCCAUCAUGGGUUGAUGUCCAAGUUGGGCGUUGUAUCCCCGUCCAACUUGCGGGAGGUGUUGACGUAAUGAUCUCCAGUCGGAAGCCCAAAUUCAAACCAGUUGAUCGAGGCCCAUUAUAGUGUAGUAGCAUAUCUUAUUUAUGUACCAAUAUAUUAGAGAGCCCAAUGUAAUUUUCUAU